GAGUACUUUAUAAAUCCAGACAGCAAACCAAGUUGAACAUGAAAGACAGAAAAAUGUACAAGAUUGUGCUAUUUUACUCUGCACUCUUUGAAAGUGUGUGUGUGUGUGUGUGCGUGCGUGUAACUUGCAGGCGUUAAUGCUUUUCUUUGUUCAUGUGACCAGUUUACAGUAUAAUAACUACCAUACCCUGGCUGCCACCAAGGGUCAAGUGCUUCUCAAACAUUAGUUCAUUGGGUACUCCUGGUAAUCCUAUGGUCACCGGGUGUUAUCAUCUCUUAUUUUACAGAAAUAAGAUUUCUUAUUUCUGGAUUUCAGAGGUGCAUAACUUGCUCAAGGUCACACAAAUUAAGUAACAGUGUCAAAGAUCAAACUCAGAUCUCUCUGACUCUAAAGGUGUGCCUUUACUAGAAUAUCAAACUAUUUUUCUUCUAUUACAGCGUUAUGUUUUCUUGAGCAAAUAUAGCCCUAACUGCUCCCUUACUGGCAGUAGGGUAGAAGUAAUAAUAAUGAUAAUAGCAGCACAUGUGGAGCUUAUUAUGUGCCAGGAACUGUCCUAAACACUUUAUGAUGUAUUAAAUAACUUAUUCCUUGUAAUGUCUUACAAGGUAAGGUUGUACCCUAUUUCUAGAUGAGCAAACUAAGAUUGAGAAACUGGCACAAAGUCACCAACUGGCACUAGCUAGGAAGAGGUGGAACUGGGAAUCAACGCCAGACAGUUGGGCUCCAGAGCCUGUGCAGGCCACCAAGAAACUAGAAGAGGUUGUCAGAAAGAUAAGUCACUCAGUGGAAACCCAUUGUACUGUUCAGACUGGUCAGGCCCACAUUAGAUACAGUUUGUGAGGCAUUCACACUCCAGGAGAGGAGAAAGCUGGUGAGUCAAUGAGUUGAACCUUUAACUCCUUAGUUUCUAUUGCCUGACUGACCAACACACUCAGUUGCAGGCCAGGGCAUAAAGCCAAGGGCAGCUGUCUUUCCUUGGGGGUACCUGCGGGAGCGCUGGGAAUCACACAACACUGGGGGAGGGGCUCGGAGAAGUGGAUAUAUCUCCUGCAUCGGUCAGGGUCAGGUAUUUUAAUUGUUUCCAUUUCUCUUCUCACUUCUUUGUCAUUGCUCUCUUUUUUCCAGAAAAGUGAAAUGAAUUCUUUGGAAUUCUUAGGAACUGAAGGGUUUUAAAUCUGUAAUGUUUAUGAACUUGCUGAGAGCACUGGGAAACGAGGCUUGAUUUUGCACAUGAAGUCAUAUUUUAACACAAACCAAAAAAAAAAAAAAAAAGAGAGAGAGAGAGAAAGAGAGACAGAGAGACAGAGACAGAGACAGAGAGAGAGACAGAGAGAGACUUGAGAGUCUGUGGGGAUCAGAGCUGGGUAUUGUGUUACAGAAAUUUUCCAUUUCAGACACAAACUACGUACAGUAGUAUGUGAGCCAAAAAAAAAAAGGCUGAGAGAGACUCCAGGAGGGCCCGAAGAAAUAAUACCUCCUUCUUUAAUCUUGAAGAGUGCAGCCAGGUUCUUGAGGAGGGCUGCCCAGAGGUCUGGAUCAGAUCACUCAGACGUCUGGGAUUAGAAUGAUGAUGAUAGCAGUAUCGUGGGGCAAAACUUCAGACAGCUCCCUAAGAUGCCCCUGAGCAAGAAACUUAACUUCUUAGUGCCUCAGUUUCCAAUAUCUGAAUUUGUUGAGAGUAGUGAAAAUGUUAUACAUAUUAGCUACGUAAAAUGAUAUAAUAAUGCUAGAUUAUUAUUAAACAAUACUUAUAGCUAGCAUUUAUUAAAGCCUUACUAUGACUGAGCCACUGUGUUAAAGUUUUCUAAACAUUACCUCAUUUAAUCCUUACAACAACUCGAUGAGAUCAGUGGUAUUCUUUUUCUGGUUUUACAUAUGAGGGAACUGUAAUUUAGAAAAGCUUAAUGACAGGAACAAGUUUAUAACCUUAAGUGGUUGACUCGGGUCUCAAAUUGAUACCUUACUCUACGUCCCUGAGGACAGGCCAACCAUGGCUCACACUGCUCUGGUCCUGGGAUGAAUCUGGACAUCAUUUGUUUGACAAUCUGUGCCUUUCGCCCCUCGUUCUAUCUUUCAGCAGUGCUCCUUUCAGGUUAACAUGGAAGCACCUAUUUAAAAAAGAAGUUGAGAAGUUGGGCAUGUUUUCCAGGUAAAUAAACUGGUCUUAGCACCUCCGGAUUGAUUCUGAAACAGGUAUUACCCAGAGCAGUGGUUCCUGUAGUUAGGUAUCCGACCAGCAGCAUUAGCAUCACCAGGGAAUUUGUGAGAAAUGCAAAUGCUCUGGCUCCAUCCCAAUGGACUGAAUCAGAAACUCUGAGGGGGUACUCGGCCCUCUUAACCAACCCUGGAGCUGAUUCUGAUGCAGCUGAAGUUCAAGAACCAUAAGCCUCUGGGGUAGAUAAAGGAGAGAGUUAAAUCAGGAAUCAAGGUCUAUGAUUCUUAACAGCUGCUAGUGACUCAUUCCUCCAGUCAUUCCCUUCUGGGUUCCUGUCCUUUUUAGGAUGAAGGAUUUGCUCAAGUCCCAUCUUGUGUGAUAAAUUUCAUCAACAGUGUCGUUCCUUUCUGAAUCAAUGUGCAUAAGGAGACUUUGAGCUUUAUCCACUCCCACGUGUAUGCAGAGCCCACUUCUGUUUUUGGAACCACUGGCUCGUUUUCUAGUCUGGAUGACUAGCUUCAAGUUACCCUACAUGCCAGAAGAGAAAAAUAAGGUUUAAUAAAACUGUGGUUCUAGAUUGAAUUGAACACUUACAGAAUUGGGGUUAGCUCUCUAGAUGUGCUCAGUUUUAAAGGUUCUGAACGGAGCUAUGCAUGAGUCACAGGGCACCCUGUCCUCCUUUCUUCUCUCCCCAACACCUAAAAUUCAUGACAGAGGGUGAAGCAACUAAAGCCGAAAAUGGGGAAAAUCAUUGCUUUAGUUUUUUAAGGGGUCUCUGGAGUACAUCUUACAUCUCCAAAUAAGAGGAUGAAAGAAUGAAGUCAACAUGAAAGUGGGUCCAUUAGGAGUUCAACAAUCUCUUGGUCCAACUUCAGGAUAUAGCCUCUUUCAUGAAGCUAACAAGAAGAGACAAGAGAACAAGGCACCCAAUUUGCAACUACCUUGGAUCCGCAGUGUCAGACUCUCCACACUGCAGGCCAGGCACAGCUUGCUUCCGAAGGCCUCCUGGAUCCGGAGAACCAGGCAUUUAUGAUGGGCCUCAUCCAUGGCGU